rnacentral:misc_RNA from 1 species
GUUUAAAGGAUCUCAAUUGUCAAUUUAGCUCAGCUCUGAUUGUUCUGAUUAUGAUAGAGUUGGAUAACAAACCUCCAUUACAAUCUAAAUCAAUGGAAGAGCAAUUUCAUCAAAGGCAGCCCAAAAGUGGUAUAGGUACCAAAACAGGCAUAUCAAUGAUGUGAAAACAUACUAGUUCCUCAUCGCAACCUAAUCAAAUCGAAGAAAAUCUUGUUUUAUUAGAUUCUAUUGUACAUACUUCCAUUACAGCUUUACCAUCAUAAUGCUGUAAUUGAUAGCAAAACUACACCAUGGAAGACGGAAAAUUAGUGAUAUUGCUGGGAACUCAAUACCAUAUAAAAAGAUGACAACAUUAGACAAUUCUCCGCAUCUAAACAAACACAAGCGAGAUUUCACAGCCGGAACUAACAAAUUCUUUCAUUUUCACUUGGUGACGAUGUCUGCCUUCCACCCUAAAACUUGAAAUCCUUUUUCUUUGAUUUCCCUUCCUUUUCCUGCAUCUUUCGCUUCCUUUUCUUCUCAUUCUGCAGCAAAAAUAGCUCAUUAUAAAUAGCCAAUAAAAUCAUUGUCAUGUAGUUGAAUCAUAGAAAAAGAAUAGCUAGUGGCCUGCUAGGAUAUCAAAACACUAGACAGUGGAUCUCAAGAACUGGUUUAUCUGCAGCAAUAGCACUAAUAUACUUGGAGCAAUCUGUAAUCAGACGGUUGCAAGCAAAAAUCAUUAACUUGGCAAGCAUGUAAAUGUAACAUACCUCUGCAACCAUAUCACUGAAAUCCUCGCGUUGGCUACGCAUUUUCUCCUCCUCUCUUGCUUCCUCGUACUUUGCAGGCAAAACAUUGUCCAAAGCGUCCAAUUCCUCAGGUUGUAAAGUGACAUCAACUCUAUCUGUUUUCUGGCCUCGAAGAAGAUCAACCCUUUUAGCUGCUGACUUGUCUUGAGUGCCACUGGCAACCACAUACGUGUGGGUUGUUCCAAGUAAAGUCCCUGGAGCAAUCCUCUCUUCUUUUUCUUCAAGAACUUGGUAAAGAGGCCUCUCAGGUUCCUUUCUUUGCUGCUUACGGAGGUCAAUGACAUCUGGUGUUUCAACACCAGUUGGUGUGCUCGAGAGGCUAUCCACAGAUUGAAUGCCAUCCUCCAACUCCUCUUCCUCAAGCUGUUCCUCCUCUUCCUCUUCUUCCUCCUCCUCCUCUUCCUCCAAGUCACCCCAGUGCUUGGUUUUAUCAACUGGCUCU